rnacentral:rRNA from 1 species
AAUAAGAGGAACCAUGAAUCUUAGUAAAUUAAUAACUCCUAUUAAUUUAUUUAUAUGGUGGCACAAAAUCGGAAGCCCCGACUGUUUACUAAAAACACAACUAUCUGCAAUUAUGAAAAUAAUAGUAUAGGUAGUGAGAUUUGCCCAAUGCCAUAUUAAUAAGUAAUAAUAAUGGGUAACUGUUUCUUUACAAAAAAUUGGUUAAUAGCGGUCUUAACUAUGAGGAUCCUAAGGUAGCAAAAUAAAUUGGCCAUUAAAUGUGGUCCAGUAUCAAUAAUUUAACGAUGGCUUCACUGUCUCUACAACUUGCUCAGUGAAAUUGAAUUACCCGUGCAGAUGCGGGUUACCUCAAAGAGGACGGGAAGACCCUAU